rnacentral:rRNA from 1 species
UACGUAGGGGGCGAGCGUUGUCCGGAUUUAUUGGGCGUAAAGAGCUCGUAGGCGGUUCCGUGAGUCGGCUGUGAAAUCUCCACGCUCAACGUGGAGGGGUCAGUCGAUACUGCGGUGACUCGAGUCCGGUAGGGGAGUGUGGAAUUCCCGGUGUAGCGGUGAAAUGCGCAGAGAUCGGGAGGAACACCCGUAGCGAAGGCGGCACUCUGGGCCGGUACUGACGCUGAGACGCGAAAGCGUGGGGAGCGAACAGG